UACGUAGGGUGCGAGCGUUAAUCGGAAUUACUGGGCGUAAAGCGUGCGCAGGCGGUUUUGUAAGCCAGAUGUGAAAUCCCCGGGCUUAACCUGGGAAUGGCAUUUGGGACUGCAAGGCUUGAGUGCGGCAGAGGAGACUGGAAUUCCUGGUGUAGCAGUGAAAUGCGUAGAUAUCAGGAGGAACACCGAUGGCGAAGGCAGGUCUCUGGGCUGACACUGACGCUCAUGCACGAAAGCGUGGGAGCAACAGGAUUAGAUACCCGGUACGUAGCAGACCCAAGUACCAUUCUUCGCUG
rnacentral:rRNA from 1 species